ACGGUCCUAAGGUAGCGAAAUUCCUUGUCGGGUAAGUUCCGACCCGCACGAAAGGUGUAACGAUUUGGGCACUGUCUCAACGAGGGACCCGGUGAAAUUGAAAUACCUGUGAAGAUGCAGGUUACCCGCGACUGGACAGAAAGACCCCAUGGAGCUUUACUGUAACCUGACAUUGGGUUUUGAUACAUUACGUACAGGAUAGGUGGGAGGCAAAAAAAGCUGGACGCUAGUCUGGCUGGAGCCGACGUUGGGAUACCACCCUUGAUGUAUUGAAAUUCUAACCGCGAGAGUAACGAAAUCCGGGACAGUGUCAGGCGGGCAGUUUGACUGGGGCGGUCGCCUCCGAAAGAGUAACGGAGGCGCCCAAAGGUUCCCUCAGCGCGGCCGGAAAUCGCGCGAAGAGUGUAAAGGCAGAAGGGAGCUUGACUGCGAGUCAAACACGACGAGCAGGUACGAAAGUAGGGCUUAGUGAUCCGGUGGUACCGAGUGGAAGGGCCAUCGCUCAACGGAUAAAAGCUACCCUGGGGAUAACAGGCUAAUCUCUCCCAAGAGUCCAUAUCGACGGGGAGGUUUGGCACCUCGAUGUCGGCUCAUCACAUCCUGGGGCUGAAGUCGGUCCCAAGGGUUGGGCUGUUCGCCCAUUAAAGUGGUACGCGAGCUGGGUUCAGAACGUCGUGAGACAGUUCGGUCCCUAUCUGUCGUGGGCGUAGGAUAUUUGAGGAGCGCUGUUCCUAGUACGAGAGGACCGGAAUGGACGCACCGCUGGUGUAUCGGUUGUCAUGCCAAUGGCACGGCCGAGCAGCUAUGUGCGGAUCGGAUAAACGCUGAAAGCAUCUAAGCGUGAAGCCGUCUCCAAGAUAAGAUAUCCCACUGUUUACAGUUAAGACCCCUUGUAGACUACGAGGUUGAUAGGUUGGAUGUGUAAGUACAGUGAUGUAUUUAGCUAGCCAAUACUAAUAGGUCGAGGGCUUGACCUU
rnacentral:rRNA from 1 species